UUUUAAAUGAAUCCAAUGAGUGUGGGCUUCAGGAAAAAAACAUCCUACAAACCAUCUGUGCUAAUUGCUGGGUCACUGUGAACACUCAGAGUGGAAGUUCAUGCAGUCAUUGUCAGAGCAGGCCACUGGAGAAAACGCCCAGGAUUUCUCUUUAAAAGAAGGGCUUAUUUGCUGCAGGAGCUCAAAGACUC